rnacentral:rRNA from 1 species
UAGUGAAUCUUACCUGCUCUAUGAAAGUUUUUUUAAUGGCCGCAGUAGUCUAACUGUGCAAAGGUAGCAUAAUAAUUUGUUCUAUAAUUCAGGACUAGAAUGAAUGGUUUGACGAGAAUAAAACUGUCUCUUAUUAGAUUCUUUAAAAUUUUAUUUUUAAGUGAGAAAGCUUAAAUUUAAUUAAAAGACAAGAAGACCCUAUCGAGUUUAAUUUCUAUUUGAAGUUUUUAGUAAUAUAUUCAUUGAGAUAUUUGGUUGGGGUAACCUAGGAGUAUAAAAAAUCUCCUUUAAUUAGGUUUAUACGAGUUAGUUAAGAUCCAUAUGAAUGAUUAAAAGAAUAAAUUACCGUAGGGAUAACAGCAUAAUUUUUUUAGAGAGUUCUUAUUGAAAAAAAGGUUUGUGACCUCGAUGUUGGAUCAAAAUAUCCUAGUGGUGUAGAAGUUACUAAGGGUUGGUCUGUUCGACCAUUAAAAUUUUA